rnacentral:lncRNA from 1 species
CAAGCAUGGGGUCUGGCCACCAUGCACAGCCAGACACGCUGGCUGCUGCAGUUGGCUGGCGGCUCCAUGAGAGGUUGUGGCUGGACCAGAUGUACAAUAUACAGCUUCCACUGUGGGCACCUGUGUCUGGACAAGGGGAAUGCUGUGGCACCCAGAAGCUUGGAGACACUAGGAACUGGAGAGUCCCAAAGAGGGUGUCACAGCCCUGGCUCAGGGAGCACCCUAGGUCUGGGGUUCCCGAAGGGCCACAGCUCUUCUCCUUCUCAUCCUAGGCAACAUGGCCUCUCUCUUGUGGUGAAACAGUCACAUGAUGUCAGUCUCAGAGAGGUUUGAAAAACUAUUCCAUUGUGCCCAUUUUACAAUGAAGAAAUGGAAACUCCUAAGGCUAAAUGAAUAACUGAAAAAAAAAAAAACAGCCAGGGUAUGGUACACACAUUUCCUAAAGAUGAGGAAAUUGGUACUGACACUGACUUUCCCCAGCUCAGACCAGGCUCGAGUCUCCCAGUUGUGGAGGUGGUUGGUCCAUAGCACCUG